UCAGCCUCCAGAGUGCUGGGAUUACGGGCAUGAGCCACCACGCCCGGCCUGAAUAUAUCAAUUUUUUAAGUUGCUUUUGGGAAUGUGAACACUGAGUGGCUACUGGACGAUGUUCAAGAAAAGACACUGGCACCUGCCAGGUGCCAGGCGCUGUGCUAGGCCGGUGACAGUGGCCGAUAGAAACCUGCUGUGAGCCACAAAUGGGAGCUGCAUCUGGAAUCUGACGUUUUCUGGUAGCCACAUUUAAAAAAAAGUAAAAAGAAACAGGGCCACCAUAACAAAAUACCACAGACCGGGGGGCUGAAACAACAGAAAUUGAUUUCUCAUGGUUCGAGAGGCUGAAAGGCUGAGACGGAGGGGCCGGCAGGCCUGGUUCCUGGUGAGGCCUCGCGCCUGGGCCUGCAGACGGCCGCCUUCUCCCUGCGCCCUCCCACGGUCCCUUCUCUGUCCCCCGCAUCUCUCCCCCUUCUUACCGAGUGAGGACACCGAUCAGAUUGGCUUAGGGUUCACCCUGACAGCCUCAUCUUGACUGAGUCACAGACUCAGUUAAAGACUCUGUCUCCAAAUACAGUCCCACUCAGAGGGACUUGGGGGGUUAGGCCUUCCAUGUAUGGAUUUUGGGGAAGGACACAGUUCAGCCCAUGACACAUACUAAGGGUUCCAACCCCGAUGUGUGUCACCCUCUGUGUCCCUUCCCAAUUCGGACCAGGCCCGUGUCCAGUGCUCAGUGGCCCCAUGGCGGGGGGCUGCUGCUGCCUGGGGCAGCACAGUCUCGCGACCAACAGCCCUGCCCUCCUGGGGCAUCCGCUCUCCUGGGGGAGGCAGGCGGCAAAGAAGUGAAGCCUUCGGUCUCCCUGGCGGCCCCGGGAGAGCCGGCGGGGAAGGGGCGAGCUGGGGCUUGGGCGGGUUCCCCGUUUCCCCCGCGCCCUUCCAGAGGGAGCCCGUGUGGGCGUGCGCACACACGUCCCCGUUUUUAAAGCCACAGAUGGUGAUAUUCCGUGCGUGCUCUUCCCUUCCUUCCUUUUCUCACUUGGAAACGUGUCUCGAAACAGACUCUGCAUCAGCACAGGUCCGUUUCAGAUGCUAACAGAUAAUUUGAAACACAGAAAAUCGGGGCGCGGCUGAGCUGGAACAACAGAGGCCGGAGCUUGACGCCAGCACCGGACCCUCGCCACGGCCCGCCGCUGCCACAAAAGCGAAGUCAAGUUCACGCACAGCAUCUGUGAACAUGCAACGACUACUAACUUAGGAGAGGCGUCAAGCCCUGGAUUUGCAGACUGCCAGACUCCUACUCACCGUCUAAGGCCCUCCCAGAAAAGCCUGCCCUGCGACCCUGCUCUGUGCUCCCACGGCCCAGUGCAGCGCUCAUCUCUGGACCCCACCAGGCUCUGAGACCCCGAGGCCUAGGACCCGGCAGUGCCAGAUGCGUCACCCAGGAACUAGAGAUGAAUCUCCAAGCAGAAGAAUUCCAAGUAAUUCGCCUUGCUCAGCCAGACUAUCACGGUCUACCUGAACAGUGAGUGAUCAGUCACCCCCAGAGCGGCCCCCUCGGUAGGAAGUGAGGAGAGAGGCCCUUGCUCUCUGCCAUCUUCUUCCUGAAACCCAUAAUCCCAGUCUAAUCUGGAGAAAGACAUCGGACAGAUCCCAGCUGAGGAAUGCUCUCCAAAACGCCUGAUGGAUACUCCUCCAAACGGUGGAGGCGGUCGCAACCAAGGGGAGUUUGAGAAACUGUCACGGCCCGGAGGAGCCUGAGGAGCAUGACAAUGACGUGUACCUAGUGCACUGGAUGUGAUUCUGGAAGACAGGAAGGACGCUAGGUAAAAACUAAGGAAAUCUGGGUAAUGUGAAGUGUAGACUUUAGUUAGUAAUGAUGCAUUAACGUUGGUUCAUUAAUUGUGACAGAUGCACAGUAUUCAUGUAAGAUGUUAGUGUUAAUGAUAGAGGAGAUUGGGUGAGAGUAUAUGGGCACUCUACUACCUUCAUGCUUUUUCUUUCUUUUUAAAAACGUUAUUACAGGUACAUAAUAGUUGCAAGUCUUUACAGAGCACGUGUGAUGGUUUGAUACAGGCAGACAAUGUGAAUUAAUCUAGUCCGGGUAAUUGGGGUAUUCACCACCUCAGGCAUUUAUCAUUUCUUUGUGUUAGGAACAUCCCAGUUCUACUUUUAGUUAUUUUAAAGUAUGCCCUUAUUGUUGAUUAUAGUUGCUUUGUUGUGCUAUCAAAUAUUAUUCAUUCUAUCUAACUAUUUAACUAUGUUUUCGUACCCAUUAACCACCCUCUGUACCCCCUCCCUGCUACCCUUCCCAGCCUCUGGUAACCAUCAUUCUGCUGUCUGUAGAAUCAGAGAGAACAUGGAGAUUUGUCUUUCUGUGCUUGGCUUGUUUCACUUAGCAUAAUGUUCUCCAGUUCCACC